AUACGGAGGAUCCGAGCGUUAUCCGGAUUUAUUGGGUUUAAAGGGUGCGCAGGCGGCCAUUUAAGUCAGCGGUUAAAUCGUGGGGCUCAACCCCAUUCUGCCGUUGAUACUGGGUGGCUUGAUUGCGGUCGAGGUUGGCGGAAUUCGUUGUGUAGCGGUGAAAUGCAUAGAUAUCACGAAGAACUCCGAUUGCGAAGGCAGCUCACUGGACUGCAACUGACACUGAUGCUCGAAAGUGUGGGCAUCAAACAGGAUUAGAUACCCUGGUAGUCCACACAGUAAACGAUGAAUACUCGCUGUUUGCGAUAUACAGUAAGCGGCCAAGCGAAAGCAUUAAGUAUUCCACCUGGGGAGUACGCCGGCAACGGUGAAACUUAAAGGAAUUGACGGGG
rnacentral:rRNA from 1 species